GCCACUUCUUGCCGGCCACCGUGCGGAGGU
rnacentral:sRNA from 1 species